rnacentral:rRNA from 1 species
UACGUAGGGGGCGAGCGUUGUCCGAAGUUACUGGGCGUAAAGAGCGCGUAGGCGGGUCUUUAAGUGAGGGGUGAAAGGUUCGGGCUCAACCCGGACACUGCCUUUCAUACUGGGGACCUUGAGUGCGGGAGAGGCGAGUGGAAUGGUCGGUGUAGCGGUGAAAUGCGUAGAUAUCAGGAGGAACACCUGUGGCGAAAGCGGCUCACUGGACCAUUACUGACGCUGAUGCUCGAAAGCUGGGGGAGCAAAAAGG